rnacentral:miRNA from 1 species
AUAUAUAUACACACACAUACACACACACAUGCACACACAUAUAAAUAUAGACAAUGUGUGUGCAUGUGUGUGUGUAUGUAUAAAAAGACGU